GGUUAAGUUAAUAAGGGCGCACGGUGGAUGCCUUGGCACUAGGAGCCGACGAAGGACGUGACAAACGACGAUAUGCCUUGGGUAGCUGUAAGUAAGCGAUGAUCCAGGGAUUUCCGAAUGGGGGAACCCAACAGGUAGUACCUGUUACCCACAUCUGUUAAGGAUGUGAGGAGGAAGACGCAGUGAACUGAAACAUCUAAGUAGCUGCAGGAAGAGAAAGCAAAAGCGAUUGCCUUAGUAGCGGCGAGCGAAACGGCAGGAGGGCAAACCGAAGAGUUUACUCUUCGGGGUUGUAGGACUGCAAUGUGGACUCAAAGAUUAUAGAAGAAUGAUUUGGGAAGAUCAGCCAAAGAGAGUAAUAGCCUCGUAUUUAAAAUAGUCUUUGUACCUAGCAGUAUCCUGAGUACGGCGGGACACGUGAAAUCCCGUCGGAAUCUGGGAGGACCAUCUCCCAACCCUAAAUACUCCCUAGUGACCGAUAGUGAACCAGUACCGUGAGGGAAAGGUGAAAAGCACCCCGGGAGGGGAGUGAAAUAGAACCUGAAACCGUGUGCCUACAACAAGUUCGAGCCCGUUAAUGGG
rnacentral:rRNA from 1 species